rnacentral:rRNA from 1 species
AAAUUGAAGAGUUUGAUCAUGGCUCAGAUUGAACGCUGGCGGCAGGCCUAACACAUGCAAGUCGAACGGUAACAGGAAGCGCUUGCUGCUUCGCUGACGAGUGGCGGACGGGUGAGUAAUGUCUGGGAAACUGCCUGAUGGAGGGGGGUAACUACUGGAAACGGUAGCUAAUACCGCAUAACGUCGCAAGACCAAAGAGGGGGACCUUCGGGCCUCUUGCCAUCGGAUGUGCCCAGAUGGGAUUAGCUUGUUGGUGGGGUA